UUAAAAUCUACCAAACUACAUUUUUUAAAUGAACUUUGUUCCUUGCAUUUUGUUAUUUUUCAUAUUCACUUUCGUGUUUCGUGUCGUAGUGGCGAUGCAAAGUGCAGAACACGUUAAUGUAUAGACAAGUCUCACGGGAUACGAAUAGUGUGAUUUGUCAAAAAUGGUCUAACCGCCACCGUGGUGUGGUGAAACUUUUAACAGAGUUGAUUACGCAAAUCGUCUUGUCACCCUGUUCUGGAAAUCGAAAUCUUUAAAAUUUUCCAGUUAAAUUUUCGGCAACUUAAACGUUAGCGGUUUGUAGCAUUCUUAUAAACUGUUUGUUGAAAUAAAUUUAUCAAAAUGGAAAAACACAAGAACUCCAAGCAAGAGCUAAUUUUAGCCGAGUUUAUGGAAUCUCAUCCAGAUUUGGCGAAGAAUUUUUCGAAGGGCGACAGAGUUGCUGUUGAGGAAAAGUGGAAAGAGCUAACGACGCACAGUGCGGCCGAUUCCCGAAA